rnacentral:rRNA from 1 species
GUCGAAUGACUUGGAAAAGUCAGUCAAAGAGGGUAAAAACCCCGUAGACGAAAUGUGGAAGACACCUAGGAGGAUCCUGAGUACGGCGGAACACGAGAAAUUCCGUCGGAAUCCGGGAGGACCAUCUCCCAAGGCUAAAUACUCCCUAGUGACCGAUAGUGAACCAGUACCGUGAGGGAAAGGUGAAAAGCACCCCGGAAGGGGAGUGAAAUAGAACCUGAAACCGUGUGCCUACAACAAGUCAAAGCCCGUUAAUGGGUGAUGGCGUGCCUUUUGUAGAAUGAACCGGCGAGUUACGAUUGCAUGCGAGGUUAAGUUGAAGAGACGGAGCCGCAGCGAAAGCGAGUCUGAAUAGGGCGUUUGAGUAUGUAGUCGUAGACCCGAAACCAUGUGAUCUACCCAUGUCCAGGUUGAAGGUGCGGUAAAACGCACUGGAGGACCGAACCCACGUACGUUGAAAAGUGCGGGGAUGAGGUGUGGGUAGCGGAGAAAUUCCAAACGAACUUGGAGAUAGCUGGUUCUCUCCGAAAUAGCUUUAGGGCUAGCCUCGGAAUUGAGAAUGAUGGAGGUAGAGCACUGUUUGGACUAGGGGCCCAUCUCGGGUUACCGAAUUCAGAUAAACUCCGAAUGCCAUUCAUUCAUAUCCGGGAGUCAGACUGUGAGUGAUAAGAUCCAUAGUCGAAAGGGAAACAGCCCAGACCACCAGCUAAGGUCCCAAAAUAUAUGUUAAGUGGAAAAGGAUGUGGGGUUGCACAGACAACUAGG